UAAUUGAAGAGUUUGAUCAUGGCUCAGAUUGAACGCUGGCGGCAGGCUUAACACAUGCAAGUCGAGCGGUAGCACAGGGGAGCUUGCUCCCUGGGUGACGAGCGGCGGACGGGUGAGUAAUGUCUGGGAAACUGCCUGAUGGAGGGGGAUAACUACUGGAAACGGUAGCUAAUACCGCAUAACGUCGCAAGACCAAAGAGGGGGACCUUCGGGCCUCUUGCCAUCAGAUGUGCCCAGAUGGGAUUAGCUAGUAGGUGGGGUAAUGGCUCACCUAGGCGACGAUCCCUAGCUGGUCUGAGAGGAUGACCAGCCACACUGGAACUGAGACACGGUCCAGACUCCUACGGGAGGCAGCAGUGGGGAAUAUUGCACAAUGGGCGCAAGCCUGAUGCAGCCAUGCCGCGUGUGUGAAGAAGGCCUUCGGGUUGUAAAGCACUUUCAGCGAGGAGGAAGGUGGUGAGCUUAAUACGCUCAUCAAUUGACGUUACUCGCAGAAGAAGCACCGGCUAACUCCGUGCCAGCAGCCGCGGUAAUACGGAGGGUGCAAGCGUUAAUCGGAAUUACUGGGCGUAAAGCGCACGCAGGCGGUUUGUUAAGU
rnacentral:rRNA from 1 species